rnacentral:SRP_RNA from 1 species
GCCAAGGGCAGUGGUGUGCACCUGUAGUCCCAGCUACUUAGGAGGCUGAGGUAGGAGGAUCACUUGAGCUCAGGAGCUCUGAGCUGUAGUGCACUGUGCCAGUUGGGCGUCUGCACUAAAUUUGGCAUCAAUAUGGUGACCUCCCAGGAGUCAGGGACCACCAGGUUGCCUGAGGGAGGUGUGAACCUACCCAGGUCAGAACUGGAGCAGAUCAAGACUCUCAUGCUGAUCAGUAGUGGGAUCUCACCUGUGAAUAGCCACUGCAUUCCAGCCUGACCAACACAGACCCCAUCUCA